rnacentral:rRNA from 1 species
AGUGAACGCUGGCGGUAGGCCUAACACAUGCAAGUCGAACGGCAGCACAGUAAGAGCUUGCUCUUACGGGUGGCGAGUGGCGGACGGGUGAGGAAUACAUCGGAAUCUACUUUUUCGUGGGGGAUAACGUAGGGAAACUUACGCUAAUACCGCAUACGACCUACGGGGGAAAGCAGUGGAUCUUCGGACCUUGCGCGAUUGAAUGAGCCGAUGUCGGAUUAGCUAGUUGGCGGGGUAAAGGCCCACCAAGGCGCCGAUCCGUAGCUGGUCUGAGCGGAUGAUCAGCCACACUGGAACUGAGACACGGUCCAGACUCCUACGGGAGGCAGCAGUGGGGAAUAUUGGACAAUGGGCGCAAGCCUGAUCCAGCCAUACCGCGUGGGUGAAGAAGGCCUUCGGGUUGUAAAGCCCUUUUGUUGGGAAAGAAAAGCAGCAGGUUAAUACCCCGCUGUUCUGACGGUACCCAAAGAAUAAGCACCGGCUAACUUCGUG